GGUGGUUCUUGGAUGCCACACCCUGGAAUCGGGUUCCCUCCUCUCUGGUUCUGGGUGCAUCACCCAAGAACCACA
rfam:Myotis davidii contig160774, whole genome shotgun sequence.